rnacentral:rRNA from 1 species
UACGUAGGGGGCAAGCGUUGUCCGGAUUUAUUGGGCGUAAAGAGCGUGUAGGCGGCUAGGUAGGUCCGUUGUGAAAACUCGAGGCUCAACCUCGAGACGCCGGUGGAAACCAUCUAGCUAGAGUCCGGAAGAGGAGAGUGGAAUUCCUGGUGUAGCGGUGAAAUGCGCAGAUAUCAGGAAGAACACCCGUGGCGAAGGCGGCUCUCUGGUACGUGACUGACGCUGAGACGCGAAAGCGUGGGGUGCGAACAGG